UUAUUUCCCUUGAACGAGGAAUUCCCAGUAAGCGCGAGUCAUUAGCUCGCGUUGAUUACGUCCCUGCCCUUUGUACACACCGCCCGUCGCUACUACCGAUUGAAUGGUUUAGUGAGGUCCUCCGAUUGGACCCGGUCCGGGCGGCGACGUCCGAGCCGGCGUCCGAGAAGACGAUCUAACUUGAUCAUUUAGAGGAAGUAAAAGUCGUAACAAGGUUUCCGUAGGUGAACCUGCGGAAGGAUCAUUA
rfam:Ciona savignyi cont_48881, whole genome shotgun sequence.